GGUUAAGCGACUAAGCGUACACGGUGGAUGCCCUGGCAGUCAGAGGCGAUGAAGGACGUGCUAAUCUGCGAUAAGCGUCGGUGAGGUGAUAUGAACCGUUAUAACCGGCGAUUUCCGAAUGGGGAAACCCAGUGUGUUUCGACACACUAUCAUUAACUGAAUCCAUAGGUUAAUGAGGCGAACCGGGGGAACUGAAACAUCUAAGUACCCCGAGGAAAAGAAAUCAACCGAGAUUCCCCCAGUAGCGGCGAGCGAACGGGGAGGAGCCCAGAGCCUGAAUCAGUGUGUGUGUUAGUGGAAGCGUCUGGAAAGGCGCGCGAUACAGGGUGACAGCCCCGUACACAAAAAUGCACAUAUUGUGAGCUCGAUGAGUAGGGCGGGACACGUGGUAUCCUGUCUGAAUAUGGGGGGACCAUCCUCCAAGGCUAAAUACUCCUGACUGACCGAUAGUGAACCAGUACCGUGAGGGAAAGGCGAAAAGAACCCCGGCGAGGGGAGUGAAAAAGAACCUGAAACCGUGUACGUACAAGCAGUGGGAGCCUCUUAAUGGGGUGACUGCGUACCUUUUGUAUAAUGGGUCAGCGACUUAUAUUCUGUAGCAAGGUUAACCGAAUAGGGGAGCCGAAGGGAAACCGAGUCUUAACUGGGCGUUAAGUUGCAGGGUAUAGACCCGAAACCCGGUGAUCUAGCCAUGGGCAGGUUGAAGGUUGGGUAACACUAACUGGAGGACCGAACCGACUAAUGUUGAAAAAUUAGCGGAUGACUUGUGGCUGGGGGUGAAAGGCCAAUCAAACCGGGAGAUAGCUGGUUCUCCCCGAAAGCUAUUUAGGUAGCGCCUCGUGAAUUCAUCUCCGGGGGUAGAGCACUGUUUCGGCAAGGGGGUCAUCCCGACUUACCAACCCGAUGCAAACUGCGAAUACCGGAGAAUGUUAUCACGGGAGACACACGGCGGGUGCUAACGUCCGUCGUGAAGAGGGAAACAACCCAGACCGCCAGCUAAGGUCCCAAAGUCAUGGUUAAGUGGGAAACGAUGUGGGAAGGCCCAGACAGCCAGGAUGUUGGCUUAGAAGCAGCCAUCAUUUAAAGAAAGCGUAAUAGCUCACUGGUCGAGUCGGCCUGCGCGGAAGAUGUAACGGGGCUAAACCAUGCACCGAAGCUGCGGCAGCGACACUAUGUGUUGUUGGGUAGGGGAGCGUUCUGUAAGCCUGUGAAGGUGGCCUGUGAGGGUUGCUGGAGGUAUCAGAAGUGCGAAUGCUGACAUAAGUAACGAUAAAGCGGGUGAAAAGCCCGCUCGCCGGAAGACCAAGGGUUCCUGUCCAACGUUAAUCGGGGCAGGGUGAGUCGACCCCUAAGGCGAGGCCGAAAGGCGUAGUCGAUGGGAAACAGGUUAAUAUUCCUGUACUUGGUGUUACUGCGAAGGGGGGACGGAGAAGGCUAUGUUGGCCGGGCGACGGUUGUCCCGGUUUAAGCGUGUAGGCUGGUUUUCCAGGCAAAUCCGGAAAAUCAAGGCUGAGGCGUGAUGACGAGGCACUACGGUGCUGAAGCGACAAAUGCCCUGCUUCCAGGAAAAGCCUCUAAGCAUCAGGUAACAUCAAAUCGUACCCCAAACCGACACAGGUGGUCAGGUAGAGAAUACCAAGGCGCUUGAGAGAACUCGGGUGAAGGAACUAGGCAAAAUGGUGCCGUAACUUCGGGAGAAGGCACGCUGAUAUGUAGGUGAAGCGACUUGCUCGUGGAGCUGAAAUCAGUCGAAGAUACCAGCUGGCUGCAACUGUUUAUUAAAAACACAGCACUGUGCAAACACGAAAGUGGACGUAUACGGUGUGACGCCUGCCCGGUGCCGGAAGGUUAAUUGAUGGGGUUAGCGGUAACGCGAAGCUCUUGAUCGAAGCCCCGGUAAACGGCGGCCGUAACUAUAACGGUCCUAAGGUAGCGAAAUUCCUUGUCGGGUAAGUUCCGACCUGCACGAAUGGCGUAAUGAUGGCCAGGCUGUCUCCACCCGAGACUCAGUGAAAUUGAACUCGCUGUGAAGAUGCAGUGUACCCGCGGCAAGACGGAAAGACCCCGUGAACCUUUACUAUAGCUUGACACUGAACAUUGAGCCUUGAUGUGUAGGAUAGGUGGGAGGCUUUGAAGUGUGGACGCCAGUCUGCAUGGAGCCGACCUUGAAAUACCACCCUUUAAUGUUUGAUGUUCUAACGUGGGCCCCUUACCGGGGUUGCGGACAGUGUCUGGUGGGUAGUUUGACUGGGGCGGUCUCCUCCUAAAGAGUAACGGAGGAGCACGAAGGUUGGCUAAUCCUGGUCGGACAUCAGGAGGUUAGUGCAAUGGCAUAAGCCAGCUUGACUGCGAGCGUGACGGCGCGAGCAGGUGCGAAAGCAGGUCAUAGUGAUCCGGUGGUUCUGAAUGGAAGGGCCAUCGCUCAACGGAUAAAAGGUACUCCGGGGAUAACAGGCUGAUACCGCCCAAGAGUUCAUAUCGACGGCGGUGUUUGGCACCUCGAUGUCGGCUCAUCACAUCCUGGGGCUGAAGUAGGUCCCAAGGGUAUGGCUGUUCGCCAUUUAAAGUGGUACGCGAGCUGGGUUUAGAACGUCGUGAGACAGUUCGGUCCCUAUCUGCCGUGGGCGCUGGAGAACUGAGGGGGGCUGCUCCUAGUACGAGAGGACCGGAGUGGACGCAUCACUGGUGUUCGGGUUGUCAUGCCAAUGGCACUGCCCGGUAGCUAAAUGCGGAAGAGAUAAGUGCUGAAAGCAUCUAAGCACGAAACUUGCCCCGAGAUGAGUUCUCCCUGACUCCUUGAGAGUCCUGAAGGAACGUUGAAGACGACGACGUUGAUAGGCCGGGUGUGUAAGCGCAGCGAUGCGUUGAGCUAACCGGUACU
rnacentral:rRNA from 1 species